AGCCAUGAUGUGAGAAGGAGUUCAGAAGAUCUUUAAAUCUUUCCCAGCAUUGGAAGAAGGUUUCUUCCUCUUUCUGAGAGAAAUUCAUGAUCGCCUUCCUCAGGGU